UAUUGCCAUUUCACUUACAUUUUCAAGGUACCAUUGACAAGCUAAAAUUGGUGCAAACCCUAAAAAGCCAUGCUACAUCCAUUCCCCACUCAAGAUUGGGAGGACGAAACGACGAAAAAGAAAAAUGACACAAAAAAGAGGGAAGCAACAGAGUUUGUAUCUUGAUGAUGCUGCUAGCUCCCCUAUGCUUCGUUUCUCCAAGGCAAGUUCAACGAAACAGCAUAUAAUUUUUUAUUAUUGCAUUGAUAUUAAUGAUUGCUUCGAAUUUCAAGACAAUGUAGCUUAUUCUGAUAUUCACACUUCAAUGGAACAUGUUCCUCGUAUCUCAAACGAUGCAUAUCGGAGUGUCGGCUCUUGGUGCUCCUGAAUGGCCGUCUUUGUGCUUUUUUCUCAUCCUCGUGCGGUCUCAAACAAUGUGAUCCCAUUUAACCUUCUGAUGAGUGCAUUUCAUUCAUACUUUAGAUAUCAUUUAAGCUUGAUAUUUAUCUAAUUCCUACGAGUUUUAGCGUAUUUUAAUGUGUAUUUUGAUGUUGUGAUAUAGGUUGAUGAAAUUAAUGGAAAUAAGCAAAAGUUGACAAAAUUGAAACAGGGCUAAAAUGUAAGAGAUUCAAAGUCUGUGGACUAAAGUACAAAUACUCAAAAGUUGUGUUGGAUUUCCCAAUAAAGAUUCGAGAGAGUUAGGAAUCAAUUGGAUAAAGAAAAAAAGUCAAAGGGAUGAAAUACAGUCAAAGCAUGAUCACACAUCAAUUUUCAAUCGAAAAAGUUUUGCUCCAAAUUCUUAGUCUCAUAUUGAGACCCAUUUUUGACAUAACAAACAUUCAAAUUGGAAAAUGAUAUCUGAAGUAA
rnacentral:lncRNA from 1 species